rnacentral:rRNA from 1 species
GACGAACGCUGGCGGCGUGCUUAACACAUGCAAGUCGAACGGAAAGGCCCUGCUUUUGUGGGGUUCUCGAUUGGCGAACGGGUGAGUAACACGUGAGUAACCUGCCCCUGACUUUGGGAUAACUUCAGGAAACUGGGGCUAAUACCGGAUAGGAUCUCCUGCUGCAUGUUGUGGGUUGGAAAGUUUCGGCGGUUGGGGAUGGACUCGCGGCUUAUCAGCUUGUUGGUGGGGUAGUGGCUUACCAAGGCUUUGACGGGUAGCCGGCCUGGGAGGGUGACCGGCCACAUUGGGACUGAGAUACGGCCCAGACUCCUACGGGAGGCAGCAGUGGGGAAUAUUGCACAAUGGGCGGAAGCCUGAUGCAGCAACGCCGCGUGCGGGAUGACGGCCUUCGGGUUGUAAACCGCUUUCGCCUGUGACGAAGCGUGAGUGACGGUAAUGGGUAAAAAAGCACCGGCUAACUACGUG